rnacentral:rRNA from 1 species
UACGUAGGGGGCAAGCGUUGUCCGGAAUUAUUGGGCGUAAAGGGCGCGUAGGCGGAUAGUUAAGUCCGGUGUGAAAGAUCAGGGCUCAACCCUGAGAGUGCAUCGGAAACUGGUUAUCUUGAGGACAGGAGAGGAAAGUGGAAUUCCUAGUGUAGCGGUGAAAUGCGUAGAUAUUAGGAGGAACACCAGUGGCGAAGGCGACUUUCUGGACUGUAACUGACGCUGAGGCGCGAAAGCGUGGGGAGCAAACAGGAUUAGAUACCCUGGUAGUCCACGCUGUAAACGAUGAGUGCUAGGUGUAGAGGGUAUCGACCCCUUCUGUGCCGCAGUUAACACAAUAAGCACUCCGCCUGGGGAGUACGGCCGCAAGGUUGAA